rnacentral:rRNA from 1 species
AGAAUCAACGCUGGCGGCGUGCCUAACACAUGCAAGUCGAACGAGAAAGUGGAGCAAUCCGCGAGUAAAGUGGCGCACGGGUGAGUAACACGUGACUAACCUACCCUGGAGUGGGGGAUAACUGAGGGAAACCUUAGCUAAUACCGCAUAAUACCCACGGGUCAAAGGAGCAAUUCGCUUCAGGAGGGGGUCGCGGCCGAUUAGUUAGUUGGCGGGGUAAUGGCCCACCAAGACGAUGAUCGGUA